AUUAGCCAAGCUGGGACAGUAAAACUAAAACAAUAUAUCUUUUCCCUUAUUCUUCAGUUUGAAAGAGAGGCCAGAAAUAUCUAAGAAAAAUGAUUGUGUGUGAAUAAUGCUUCUAAUAUCCAUCAUUUUCACUUUUAUAAAAACUAAAAUGGAAACAGGGGAUUAUGUCAGUUUUCUAGGGUGGCCAUAACAAAGUACUGCAGACCAAGUGGUUUAAAUAGCAAAAAUAUGUUUAUUCCCAGUUUUAGAGAUUAGAAAGUCAAGGUCAAAGUGUUGAUAAGAAGCAGACAGAUGUGAAUAGUACAACAUGAGGUUAAGGAAAUAAUUCUAUAAAAUGGGCCCACUGUGCUGACACCCACAUGUAUUUUCUACCAAGAAGCAAUUUACCUGAAGCCCUACCUGGCCUAAUUGGACAGAAUAUGUCAUUCCUCAGCAAACUACUCGACUUGCAGGAGAAAUGCAAGCCUGAAAUAAUGUUGAUAAGAGGAACCCAAGGUAUCCUGAAGAAGGAGACUUUGACACUUUUCAUAGACCAGAUCCUGAAAUUCGGGGAGAUAAGGAUAAUUCUUCCUAACCAUGAAAUUUGUAAAAUAUUAUGUUUAAGAAUUCAAGAACUAGUCAGCAUGAGCCAAAGUGCAAGAACUAGUCAGCACGGGCCAAAGUGAUCUAAAGUCCUCCUAUGUGUCCAAAAGGACCUGAGGACUUAAAAGUAUGAUGUGAUCUUGCUGUCAAAAAAAAAAAAAAAAAAGAUUUGAACCUCAUUGAGACUCUCUGGAAAUUUCUCUGGGGGCCCCAGUAAAACUAGAGCUCAGGAGAGGCACACUAUCCCUCUAAUAAUAGGAUCUACUCUCUCCCUUGAGAGUGUCCCCUUUCCCUAUCCUUUUAAGAAACUCAUGUCUGUUACUCUGAGUGACAGGUCUGAAAUCUCUGAUUUUUUUCAAUCCCUGAUUCUUGCAAUUAAAACUUCACGCUGCUCAGUUUCCCAGAAGGCCCCAGCUCUGUAACAUGAUCAGGACACUUUCUUCUGAGGUCCUAGGGAUAAAGAUUUUAACAUACAAAUUGAGGUGAAGACAGGAGGGUAUACAGUCUAGCACUAAGAACAAUUAUAAAUGUCACUGGGUUCUUAUUCAAAAUCAUUCUAAAAAUGAACCUAGUCAACUGUUACUUUUAUGAAUGUGAAUUUGAAUCAAAAGGCAUUCAUUUUUUUAUAAUUCAUCCAAAUGAAAAAGCAGGGGUAAAGAAAGCAACAGCUGAGUUGAGUCCAUGGAGGACUUGUGUCUACUCCUCAGUAUUCCAGUGCACCUCUAUGAGUGAUAGCAGGAUUGCCAUUUCAAGUUCAUCGUCAUCACAUGGCUUUCUUUGACCAAUGAGAUGGUAUGCAGAAGUAACUCCGUUUAAUGUUUGAUCAGGUAAAUUGCUGAAGUCAUUAUGGAAAUUCUAAUCAGUAUGAGAAUCCAGUAGUGCCUCAAAUAACCUAACAAGCAGAGACACCCAAGCUGACCCAAAAUAAACAUAAAAUAAUCAAGAAAUAAGUCUAUGUGUCAAGCUAUUGAGAUUUUGAGUUUGCUUGUAACUGCAGCAUACCUGUUCCCUCUUGAUGAGUUCAGUGGGAAAAAUAAUGAUGAUUUCUUUAAUGGUGACAAUAACCAGCCUCACAAACUUAUUAAUUCAACUUAGGUAUGGCAACAUGAACCAAAGUCUCUAUCUACCAGUUAUACCUAAGAGGCCACUAUAGAAAGAUUCAUCAUCUUCAGAUAUGUGAUAAUGUAAACAUUUUGUAUCUUAGAAUUGCUAAAAUAUACAAUGUGAAAAAAGAGGCAGUUUUAUUUUUAUAGUGGUUUAGUGUCUCAUUGUAGCUAGUGUACUUUUCAUUAUUGGCAUAAAUGAGAAAAUAUUUAUGUAUGUAUACCUACAAGUAAAUUGUUUUUCCAUGAAUUGUCCAUUCACAUCAUUUGCGC
rnacentral:lncRNA from 1 species